UUAAAAAAGAUGAAACGCGUACACACACAAGCGCGCGCGCACGCAUAUACACACAGCUCGAGCCACCCACACCAAUACCACCUGUCAGUAGCUGGUCGGAGUAAUGUAGGCGGGAGCUGCGUCAAACCCUUCAAAUGCCAUAACACCGAGAGCUAAAACAGAGUGAGAGCCAGAGAGGAAGUUAGACUUUUUUCUUUUUUUCUUUUUUCUCACAACUCUGCCUCUGUCCGCGCUGAUCAGCCUGUCUGCGCAUCAGCGGAGCUCGCGCUGCCGCUGCGUCGCGCGCUAGAUCCACUCCGGCUCCCUCCUGCUCUCCUCCUGUAGCCGUAGUCCUGUUGCUCCUCGUCGCUGGCGCUCUCUGAAGACUUCUUUCACAAUUAUCAGCCGGAUUUUUACAGCAUUUACAGGCAAAAGGAGGAGGAGAAGGUGAGAGAGGGCGGAAAGCUCCGUCCACAGCCGCCUCAGGUGCUCUCAGCGGCGCUGCGGCGCGUUUGCUCUCAUCUUUAGGGCGAAAAUGAAGCUCCCCUCGUUUUCCUCUGCGCUGUAGAAACAAUGGGAAAGGGAAGCGCGUGAUCUGAAGUGUUCGCCAGGUUCUGGAUUGGUGAAUAAACCCAGUUAAACUGCUUGUUUACGUGUUUUGGUUUUGACCGGCAAAAAUAUUUUUUUCAACAGUGCGCGCGCGGCUGAACGAGGGCAAACCCCGAGCGAGGUCUAGAUCCCGCGCGCAGCAUCGCUGACUGCUCCCAACACCUCACACGCGCGCUGACGAGCCUGUGCUGGAUUUACACGCGUCUCUAAAGGGAUACGUCACAUCUGCCCUCGCAGACUUCGCAGACUUUUGUGGGGCUUCUGCUUUUGUCUUUUUUGUCCUGCUGCUCCGGCAUCCAUGGCCAGUCGCUCUAAUCUUUCUCACCAUGUGCUUUUUGGGAAUUAGCCGUGGAGAGAGGCGUCCCCUCUCAGGCGGAGAGGGCUGCUAAACCUCUCUUUCCUCUCCAGCCUCAGUAAAGUCUACUUCAUGGCUCCGGCGUCCAGACUGACCAGGCGGAAGGAUUCAGUGGCCUGGCCGAGGAUGUCCGCAACUUUCUGGGCUGUGCUUCUACUGAUCACUCUGCUGAUCGUCUACUGCGGUCAGUUGGCAGCAGGAACCUGUGAAAUCGUCACGUUGGACAGAGACAGCAGCCAGCCACGGAGGACCAUCGCCCGGCAGACUGCCCGCUGUGCCUGCAAGAAAGGCCAAAUUGCCGGCACGACAAGAGCCAGGCCGGCCUGCGUGGAUGCUCGUAUUGUGAGGACCAAGCAGUGGUGUGAUAUGGUACCAUGUCUGGAGGAUGAAGGCUGCGAUCUGUUGGUAAACCGGUCAGGCUGGACUUGUACACAGCCCGGGGGUCGGGUCAAAACCACCACGGCUCUAUGACGCGAACGGAAUCUCCCUGCUCAAAUCGCAUUCCCACCUAAAACAUGGCGGAGCACAUUGACGAACCAGACAGACAAAAAUCAGCCCCUGGUCCAGAGCAGAUACCAUCACAAACAACAACAACAAAUGCCAGCGGGCAUUAUCAACAAGGUCUCUUAACAGUGGCAGAGGUUCCAGAGGUGUGGAGAGCUCAAAGUGUGGACUCUAUGGAAGCCAGCCUGCAGCUCUCUUUGCUCCUGCCCACCUGCUGUAGAUAACUCGCUGUCUGUCAUCGGCUCGACAUCUGCCUCCGACUGCCUGUCUGUAUCUCUGCUUUGUAAAUGAGCGGUGCCCCCUAGUGCCACGGAGGACUUACGUCCACACAGCGCCUCACACAGCACUGGAGAGCCUUCUAGACUGUGGAGUGUGAUGGGUGCUACCUUGUCAGGACUAAAAGGAUGUCCACCACACCCAUUUUUUUGAGGACUCUAGUGCUUUAAGAACUAAACCAUGAUGUUCUGCAACAUCCUGAGACUGUGAUGACCCUUCCCUCCACCCAGUGGAACUGCCCGCUCUGUGAAUAGGCCUUCUUCUGGAGUACAACUUUGGCACUCUGAACGAUUUUUACAGACCAAAGAGGAAGAAUAUCAUACAAACACAUUAACAAAAGGAAUUCAGAGGAUGUACCGAGCGAGGAAAUGAAAUGAAAAUAUACAGAAAGUCACAUAACUGAACACCAAUGUCCACGUAUGUAAAAGCACUGACUUUGAAGAAUCGAUCUGUGCAAAUGAACUGACCAACCAGGUCAGACAUGAACAAAAAUCUGAGGAGUACCUUUAAUACUUUGCAGACGUUUUUUCUCAGACUGUACCCUCCACUGUAUUUUGAAACUGGAAAUAUAGGUACUGUAUACAUAUGUAUGUGUAUAAAGAAAAUCAGAUUUGCAUUUUUCAGUAGCAACAUUUCGGACAAUUUGCAAUAAGCAUGGUUGGUUACAGUUAAAGAGUACAGCGCUGAUCAUCAUCAGACACAAAGCGAAUACAGAAAAAAAAUUCCUGUCAUUUCUGAUUGCCAGAAGAGGAAAAAAAGAAGUCAUUAAAUGUAUUUUGAAAGGCCUACAGUUAUAUAUUUAACAGUUUUAUAUGUUGUAUCUUUGUAGAGAACCUUAUUUAACAUGAAUAAUGUGGUGGAAAUGGCAGUGAUAGAAUGUGGAUAAUAAGCUCUGUUUCAUGCUGGUCUGUCCUGCUCUUCUCCUCCACCAGUAGCACCUCUCCUUUUAGACCCAUUUAAAGGAAAAAAAAAAAAAAAAAACAUGACCGCCACUUCUUCUAUACUAAACAGACGAGUGAAAAAAAAAGAAAAGGACAGAACAUGGAAGGAAAAAAAAAAGAAACGAUCGAUCACUGAGAACUGAACUUUAUAUCCCA